AUUUUCAUAGCCUUUGUAAUGGUAAGCUCUGUUUUUCUGGGAGAUUGGGCAUCCUCUUAAAAUUCAGUCCAUCCUUGACGAUAUCCUUUGCCCAAUUUCUGUAUUUCUGCAAAUUUCAGUUCUGCCAAGAUGGUAUGAUGGCUUAUAGGCUGGGAGCUCUGAGAGUCACCUCCAACUAAUGAUUCAAUUAUCCUCUGAGAAAGCAAAUAGCUCAAAUUUUUCCCUCAGGCAUGGGUAUAAGUUUUUGGUCUCAAUCUAGACUUGAUCAAGUCAGAAACACAAUAUACAGUUUCAAAGACUAUAACCAAUAAUUUAAAUUGAAUCUAAAAGAAAAUAGACAACCACUAUGAAACAAAAUUAGUGCACUGCCUCUCCUUCUGCAGUUGGAUCUAUUUAUAUUCAAGGCAUUAACAAAGAAUAUAUACUCCUAAGAUAGCUCUAAACUAGAAAGUACUUUCUUCCCCUCUUUCAAAUAUUUAGGCAUAUGGAUGUGUUUACAUAUCCACUUAAUAUUUCUACAAACUAUUGUGAUUCAGCUAACCCAGUGAUGAGAAAACUUUUAGAGACUGAAUGCCCAAACUUUAACCCUCACACUACAUGUGAGCCCCUCUCUCAACCAAGACAGGGUAGGGAGGAGGCAUUCCCAUUGGGCUGUAGAACAGAGGGUUUGGUGAUGAGAAAAAUGUCCUCAGGCACACAUGGAAAGUGGGAAGGGAAAAGAACCCUCUGGCAUACAUGAUGUAGAUUCACUAACAUGGCUAAGGAAUGCUGCAUCUCUUUGUACUCUAGGACAGUGAUGGCAAACCUUUUAGAUGGGUGGGUGAUAUGAAAAAUGUCCUCAGACAUGCACAAAGAGGGAGAGAGAAGCAAUCUAGCCCUGCCUCUCUGGCUUUUGUGGAUGAAUAAAUUGGAGAAAACCUGCAACAGAGCCAAAGUAGUAAAGUUUGCAAAAGCUGUCAUUCAAGAAUCAUUCUGGAAUGGAAUGUGACUGGAGGGAGACUGUUGAAGGGAAACAUCCAAACUGUUGGAGUUGUCACUUUCUCCUGAGACAGGAAGGAGUAAGGACUGAGAAUAUCUUCUUCUUACUGAAUUUAUAUCUUCUCUAUAAAGAUUCUUCUAGGAACUAUGAAAUUGGAAUUGAAAUUUUCACUUUUAACAGAAAAAUAGUUGCAUCUAUUUUCCAGAGUUUUUGCAGUAAUCCUCAGUCUAUAACCCAAUCAUAUAUAGAGGGAAAGAUGAUCAAGAUGAUCCAUGAGCAUCAGUGUCCUUCUGCUUACCCAUAUCAAAAUGAUGAUACAUCUCAUGUCUGGGAACAUCCGAAGCCUGAAGGACAGGCAACAUCAGAGUAACUGCUCCUAUUUGAUAUGAAUAUCAACAUUAACAUGUAGCCUCUACUCUGGAUUUCUGUUGCUAAAUAAAACCUUUAAAUUCAAUUGUCUGUGGACUCUG
rnacentral:lncRNA from 1 species